GACGAACGCUGGCGGCGUGCCUAAUACAUGCAAGUCGAGCGCAGGAAAUCGACGGAACCCUUCGGGGGGAAGUCGACGGAAUGAGCGGCGGACGGGUGAGUAACACGUAAAGAACCUACCCUCAGGUCUGGGAUAACCACGAGAAAUCGGGGAUAAUACCGGAUGGGUCAUCGGACCGCAUGGUCCGAGGAUGAAAGGCGCUCCGGCGCCGCCUGGGGAUGGCUUUGCGGUGCAUUAGCUAGUUGGUGGGGUAAUGGCCCACCAAGGCGACGACGCAUAGCCGACCUGAGAGGGUGAUCGGCCACACUGGGACUGAGACACGGCCCAGACUCCUACGGGAGGCAGCAGUAGGGAAUCUUCCACAAUGGACGAAAGUCUGAUGGAGCAACGCCGCGUGAACGAUGAAGGCCUUCGGGUCGUAAAGUUCUGUUGUAAGGGAAGAACAAGUGCCGCAGGCAAUGGCGGCACCUUGACGGUACCUUGCGAGAAAGCCACGGCUAACUACGUGCCAGCAGCCGCCGUAAAAC
rnacentral:rRNA from 1 species